GUCGAGCGGGGUGAUGUAGCUUGCUACAUUACCUAGCGGCGGACGGGUGAGUAAUGCUUAGGAAUCUGCCUAUUAGUGGGGGACAACAUUCCGAAAGGAAUGCUAAUACCGCAUACGCCCUACGGGGGAAAGCAGGGGAUCUUCGGACCUUGCGCUAAUAGAUGAGCCUAAGUCAGAUUAGCUAGUUGGUGGGGUAAAGGCCUACCAAGGCGACGAUCUGUAGCGGGUCUGAGAGGAUGAUCCGCCACACUGGGACUGAGACACGGCCCAGACUCCUACGGGAGGCAGCAGUGGGGAAUAUUGGACAAUGGGCGAAAGCCUGAUCCAGCAAUGCCGCGUGCAGGAUGAAGGCCUUCGGGUUGUAAACUGCUUUUGUACGGAACGAAAAAGCUCCUUCUAAUACAGGGGGCCCAUGACGGUACCGUAAGAAUAAGCACCGGCUAACUACGUGCCAGCAGCCGCGGUAAUACGUAGGGUGCGAGCGUUAAUCGGAAUUACUGGGCGUAAAGCGUGCGCAGGCGGUUAUGUAAGACAGAUGUGAAAUCCCCGGGCUCAACCUGGGAACUGCAUUUGUGACUGCAUGGCUAGAGUACGGUAGAGGGGGAUGGAAUUCCGCGUGUAGCAGUGAAAUGCGUAGAUAUGCGGAGGAACACCGAUGGCGAAGGCAAUCCCCUGGACCUGUACUGACGCUCAUGCACGAA
rnacentral:rRNA from 1 species